UAGAGGUUGGUUGGUGAGCCGAGGGUAAAACCAACGUGUAAGGGUUCGAUUGUGAUCCCGAGAAAACAAUCGGGGUGGUUCUAGUCGGUGAGCCAGGGAAAACCGACCGAGUUCGUUGUGAGCUCGUAAAACAACAAGUUGGGUUGUGAGCUUGUAAAACAACCGGCUGUAAUCCGAGAGGUUAUAGUGAAUUCCCAAGUGAGACUUGGGGAGUGGACGUAGGA
rnacentral:lncRNA from 1 species